rnacentral:rRNA from 1 species
CAGCCGCCACGGUAAUACGGAGGAUCCAAGCGUUAUCCGGAAUCAUUGGGUUUAAAGGGUCCGUAGGCGGUCUUGUAAGUCAGUGGUGAAAGCCCAUCGCUCAACGGUGGAACGGCCAUUGAUACUGCAGGACUUGAAUUAUUGGGAAGUAACUAGAAUAUGUAGUGUAGCGGUGAAAUGCUUAGAGAUUACAUGGAAUACCAAUUGCGAAGGCAGGUUACUACCAAUUGAUUGACGCUGAUGGACGAAAGCGUGGGUAGCGAACAGGAUUAGAUACCCCUGUAGUCCCUGUCUCUUAUAA